AGAUUGAACGCUGGCGGCAGGCCUAACACAUGCAAGUCGAGCGGUAGAGAGGUGCUUGCACCUCUUGAGAGCGGCGGACGGGUGAGUAGUGCCUAGGAAUCUGCCUAGUGGUGGGGGAUAACGUUCGGAAACGGACGCUAAUACCGCAUACGUCCUACGGGAGAAAGCGGGGGACCUUCGGGCCUCGCGCCAUUAGAUGAGCCUAGGUCGGAUUAGCUAGUUGGUGAGGUAAUGGCUCACCAAGGCGACGAUCCGUAACUGGUCUGAGAGGAUGAUCAGUCACACUGGAACUGAGACACGGUCCAGACUCCGUACGGGAGGCAGCAGUGGGGAAUAGUUGGACAAGUGGGACGAAAGCCCUGGAAUCCGAAGCCCAAUGACCGCGUGGUGUACGAAGAGGUUCUUACGGAUUAGUAAAGCUAC
rnacentral:rRNA from 1 species